GAUCACCAACAUACCACCCUGAACAUACUAAUCUCAUCUGAUUUUGAAAGCUAAGCAGGGUUGAGCCUGGUUACUAUUUGGAUGGGAGGCUCUGAGGUAAUAAGGAUUCUGCUUGAAACCCUGGAGAGUCGUUACCA
rnacentral:rRNA from 1 species